rnacentral:rRNA from 1 species
AUUGAACGCUGGCGGCAGGCUUAACACAUGCAAGUCGAGCGGGGGAAGGUAGCUUGCUACCGGACCUAGCGGCGGACGGGUGAGUAAUGCUUAGGAAUCUGCCUAUUAGUGGGGGACAACAUCUCGAAAGGGAUGCUAAUACCGCAUACGUCCUACGGGAGAAAGCAGGGGAUCUUCGGACCUUGCGCUAAUAGAUGAGCCUAAGUCGGAUUAGCUAGUCGGUGGGGUAAAGGCCUACCAAGGCGACGAUCCGUAGCGGGUCUGAGAGGAUGAUCCGCCACACUGGGACUGAGACACGGCCCAGACUCCUACGGGAGGCAGCAGUGGGGAAUAUUGGACAAUGGGGGGAACCCUGAUCCAGCCAUACCGCGUGUGUGAAGAAGGCCUUAUGGUUGUAAAGCACUUUAAGCGAGGAGGAGGCUACUUUAGUUAAUACCUAGAGAUAGUGGACGUUACUCGCAGAAUAAGCACCGGCUAACUCUGUGCCAGCAGCCGCCGUAA